rnacentral:tRNA from 1 species
GUCCCGGUGGUGCAGUGGUUAAAGCACUUGGCUGUGAACCAAAAGGUUGGUGGUUUGAACUCACCCAGAGGCU